AAUAAACGCUGGCGGCGUGCCUAACACAUGCAAGUCGAGCGAGAAAGCUCCUUCGGGAGUUAGUAAAGCGGCGAACGGGUGAGCAACACGUGAGAAUCUACCCUUUAGUGAAGAAUACCCUCGAGAAAUCGAGGCUAAUACUGCAUACGUCCCUUCGGGGAGAAAGAUGGCCUCUUUGCUAUCGCUAAAGGAUGAGCUUGCGUACUAUUAGCUAGUUGGCGGGGUAAAGGCCCACCAAGGCAAUGAUGGUUAACCGGCCUGAGAGGGUGUACGGUCACACUGGAACUUAGACACGGUCCAGACUCCUACGGGAGGCAGCAGUGAGGAAUCUUGCGCAAUGGGCGAAAGCCUGACGCAGCGACGCCGCGUGGAGGAUGACGGUUUUCGGAUUGUAACUCCUGUUAAGCGGGAGAAAGCCUUGUUUCUAAUACAAGCAAGGUAUGACGGUACCGCUAGAGAAGCACCGGCUAACUUCGUGCCAGCAGCCGCGGUAAGGA
rnacentral:rRNA from 1 species